AUCAGAGUUUGAUUGAGACUCAAUUGCUGAUCCUCCAUUGAAUUUGAGUCCUAGACCAAUACAAACUCCAACCCUUAUCCUUGAUCCGGAUUGUGUUCUCUUCUCAUAAGGAGACUUCUUCUCCUUAUCCCAUAUGAAAUCUUUUCGAUCAAUUCCGAAGAUAUUGUUGCAUGAUCCCUAAGACUUAUCUUCUUCACUUGCAUCUCAUAUGCAUAGGUUUAUAACCACUGUAUUUCAUAAGAUGGACCUGGUCCAUCAUUGAGUUCAUUUGUCAUUCUUCAAAAC
rnacentral:lncRNA from 1 species